GUGCUGUGAUGAUUGUCAACACAUCAUUCUGAUGUAGAUGAAGAACUUUCCAAUUACUGAGCACA